GAGUUUGAUCGUGGCUCAGGAUGAACGCUGGCGGCGUGCCUAACACAUGCAAGUCGAACGAAGCAAUCGGGAUGAAGUUUUCGGAUGGAUUCCUGGUUGACUGAGUGGCGGACGGGUGAGUAACGCGUGGAUAACCUGCCUCACACUGGGGGAUAACAGUUAGAAAUGGCUGCUAAUACCGCAUAAGCGCACAGUACCGCAUGGUACGGUGUGAAAAACCCAGGUGGUGUGAGAUGGAUCCGCGCCUGAUUAGCCAGUUGGCGGGUAACGGCCCACCAAAGCGACGAUCAGUAGCCGACCUGAGGGGGUGACCGGCCACAUUGGGACUGAGACACGGCCCAAACUCCUACGGGAGGCAGCAGUGGGGAAUAUUGCACAAUGGGCGAAAGCCUGAUGCAGCGACGCCGCGUGAGUGAAGAAGUAUCUCGGUAUGUAAAAGCUCUAUCAGCAGGGAAGAAAAUGACGGUACCUGACUAAGAAGCCCGGCUAAUACGUGACAGCAGCCGCCG
rnacentral:rRNA from 1 species